GUUCCGCAUCCACAACUUUAUUUUGCCUUUGAUUACAAUAAAUGCAACAUGUAGGUACAAUAAUUUGAAUUUUUGAGUUUAACAUAGCAUGGGGUGAGUUUGGGGCUUGGACAUAGUUAGUUAGUAUUAAUUUUAAGUUAGUAUUUUGUAGGCAUGGAUUUCAGACAUUGACAUGAUUGGUAACAUUAUCAGCUUGCAUGUUUGUUUACAUUUUUAAAAUGAAAUUAUUUUGCAAUAAACAUUAAAAUUUUAGACUAACAUUGUUUUAUUUAUUUCUUUUCAGGUACCCCCAUCAGAAGGACAGGAGCACCGCGUCGCAGAGAGCCUCAGGAGUCAUCACAGGUUAUUUGUUUUUGGUUUCAGCAUCCCUCGCUGCCGUCAUUUGAUAAAAUUGCCGUUCAUCAGGAAGAGGAGUUGCAAUGAGUUUCCCCACGCAGCUGUCAUUGCAUUUUUUGAGAGCUGCUGUCUAUAUGGUGGUGGAGUCGUCUCGUGGCAAAGAAGUCGUCAGAGAGGAUUGUGGCUCGGUCUGUCACCGAAGGAAGCCAGGUGCGCCGCGUCUUGUGGCCAUAGCGUCAGGAUUGGCAGCUUGGGGCCGCCGUUUUGAGACUUGUAGCAGAGAGCCGCCGCAACGGAAUAGCCAUGGAAAUGGAUGCAAAAAUAGUAUUUGGUACAUUGAGUGGAAUUUAAUUUAAGGUACUUAAAGAGGAAGCUAGUCUGGGGUGAGUAUUUUAUUGCUUUUAUAAUUGCGUUGGUUUAUUUGCUUUUCAGGUACGUUUUGUAUGGGCUAAAUUGGAGGCCCUUGUUGUUGUGUUAUUGCAGCUGGAAUGCCGCGCUUUUGGAGUCGUCAAGUUGCAAUUAGAUAAGUAUUAUAUUUUAAGUAUAUAUUUCCCAGUAAUAGCUUGUGUUCCCUUGUUUCAAUAGUUGGAGUUUUUGAAGCUGGAGCUGCGUGCUUGUGGCCAGCAGGAUGGAGCCGUCUAUUAGCACCUGCUACUUGUCUGGCCGGUUUGUUAUUAUUUAUGUGUCCUUGAGUAGUUUUUGUAUCGCAUUCUCAUUUAUUUUCCUUUCAUUACAGGUCAGCGGAGAAUUCGUUGGAGAUACAAAACUGAGGAAAAAUAUACAAUUUAAGGACAAGUUUUGCAGUGAAUUGAUGUGGCAUCAGCGCCACGCACAUGAUCCUUAUUUGUUCUAUGGCAUCAGGAGGUGGAGACGGCAUCGUAAUGUUGUCAAUUUUUUGUGUUAAGAGGCAAAAAGUUGGCUUUUUUGUUUUACGUUUGGUGGAGCCGUCUCCUCUUGUCUAAUGCAUAGGAUGUGGGUAAGCUGUCUGCAGUGGGUGAGGUAUUUGCUUUAUUUGAUUUUAUUUGUUUAUUUAAUUUGUUGUUGAUUGUUUGCUUUUAGGUUUUAGCGUCAACUCGCUGUUGGCGCUCUUCAAGCUGGAAAUUUAUGGGAGCAGCAGAGUGUCCUGAUCGACGAGGUGGAAGCGUUGUUGGCCCG